GUGGGGAAUCUUCCGCAAUGGACGAAAGUCUGACGGAGCAACGCCGCGUGAGUGAAGAAGGUUUUCGGAUCGUAAAGCUCUUUCGUUAGGGACGAACGUGCUCUUUGUGAAUAAUGAGGAGUAAUGACGGUACCUAAAUAAGAAGCCACGGCUAACUACGUGCCAGCAGCCGCGGUAAUACGUAGGUGGCAAGCGUUGUCCGGAAUUAUUGGGCGUAAAGUGCGCGCAGGCGGGAUAUCAAGUCUGUCUUAAAAGUGCGAGGCUCAACCUCGUGAGGGGACAGAAACUGGUAUUCUUGAGUGUCGGAGAGGAAAGUGGAAGUCCAAGUGUAGCGGUGAAAUGCGUAGAGAUUUGGAAGAACACCAGUGGCGAAGGCGACUUUCUGGACGAUGUCUGACGCUGAGGCGCGAAAGCUAGGGGAGCGAACGGGAUUAGAUACCCCAGUAGUCC
rnacentral:rRNA from 1 species